AGUCGAGCGCGAAAGGGCAACCUGAGUAGAGCGGCGCACGGGUGCGUAACACGUGGGUAAUCUGCCUCGAGGUCUGGGAUAACCUUCCGAAAGGUUGGCUAAUACCAGUUAAGCUCACGGUGACUUCGGUCGCUGAGAGAAAAGGGGCCCGAAAGGGUCUCGCCACGAGAUGAGCCCGCGGCCCAUCAGCUAGUUGGCGGGGUAACGGCCCACCAAGGCUACGACGGGUAGCUGGUCUGAGAGGACGAUCAGCCACACUGGAACUGAGACACGGUCCAGACUCCUACGGGAGGCAGCAGUGGGGAAUUUUGCACAAUGGGCGAAAGCCUGAUGCAGCAACGCCGCGUGUGUGAUGAAGGUCUUCGGAUCGUAAAGCACUUUCGACCGGGACGAACAAGGCUGGCCACACCAGCCCCUGACGGUACCGGGAGAAGAAGCACCGGCUAACUCUGUGCCAGCAGCCGCGGUAAUACAGAGGGUGCAAGCGUUGUUCGGAAUUAUUGGGCGUAAAGCGCGUGUAGGCGGCUUAGCAAGUCGGGCGUGAAAGCCCUCGGCUCAACCGAGGAAGUGCACCCCGAAACUGCUGAGCUUGAGUGCCGGAGAGGAUGGCGGAAUACCCCCAGUAGAGGUGAAAUUCGUAGAUAUGGGGUGGG
rnacentral:rRNA from 1 species